UGACAAGUCGAGCGGGGGAAGGUAGCUUGCUACUGGACCUAGCGGCGGACGGGUGAGUAAUGCUUAGGAAUCUGCCUAUUAGUGGGGGACAACAUCUCGAAAGGGAUGCUAAUACCGCAUACGUCCUACGGGAGAAAGCAGGGGAUCUUCGGACCUUGCGCUAAUAGAUGAGCCUAAGUCGGAUUAGCUAGUUGGUGGGGUAAAGGCCUACCAAGGCGACGAUCUGUAGCGGGUCUGAGAGGAUGAUCCGCCACACUGGGACUGAGACACGGCCCAGACUCCUACGGGAGGCAGCAGUGGGGAAUAUUGGACAAUGGGGGGAACCCUGAUCCAGCCAUGCCGCGUGUGUGAAGAAGGCCUUAUGGUUGUAAAGCACUUUAAGCGAGGAGGAGGCUACUUUAGUUAAUACCUAGAGAUAGUGGACGUUACUCGCAGAAUAAGCACCGGCUAACUCUGUGCCAGCAGCCGCGGUAAUACAGAGGGUGCGAGCGUUAAUCGGAUUUACUGGGCGUAAAGCGUGCGUAGGCGGCUUAUUAAGUCGGAUGUGAAAUCCCCGAGCUUAACUUGGGAAUUGCAUUCGAUACUGGUGAGCUAGAGUAUGGGAGAGGAUGGUAGAAUUCCAGGUGUAGCGGUGAAAUGCGUAGAGAUCUGGAGGAAUACCGAUGGCGAAGGCAGCCAUCUGGCCUAAUACUGACGCUGAGGUACGAAAGCAUGGGGAGCAAACAGGAUUAGAUACCCUGGUAGUCCAUGCCGUAAACGAUGUCUACUAGCCGUUGGGGCCUUUGAGGCUUUAGUGGCGCAGCUAACGCGAUAAGUAGACCGCCUGGGGAGUACGGUCGCAA
rnacentral:rRNA from 1 species